CAAUCUUCCAAACUAAUUGUUCAGCCAAUCCCCACACUCACUCCUAACCUUCCUUCCUCUGAUGAGCUUGUAAGUAUGUGCUUUAUUCAACCUGCACUCAAAGACUGCUAAAGUGCUGUUUGCCCUCUUUUUAAACCUGCACUCUUGACUCACCA